CCCCCAUCACUUCCUGCUGUCAAACUCAAGUGGCUGCUUUUUUGAGAAGGCCCCACAGCCCAUGGGGGGCUGGGGACAGGGGUGUUGGAGCAUUUCCCCUGAGCGGUGGGACCGGCCCGGGUCCCAGCUGGAAUGUCCCAGGAUGGCAGAGCCUGGAGAGUUCUCCCAGGUCCCCAGCUCACAGCCCGCUCCCCCCACCCAGGUCCCAGGGGUGCCAAACACACUCGCUAAUCCUGCGGAAAGACAGGAAGAAGCCGGUGUUCAGGAACACCUGUGCGUACCCACUGGGCCAUGGCGGGCUGAGGGAGGGCCGUCUAGGGCUGCCUGAGCCCCCAGGACCCUGGACGGGACCCCUGACUGCACGGCCCCCAGCAGUCCUCCCCAGAGAGCAUGCGCCGGUGGGGUCAGCCCACGGUUGCCCAGAGUUGGCUCAGCCGGCGUGUGCCCAGGAGCCCGGGCCUGGGGGUGGGGGGCUUUGCUGCCCUUCCGGAUAGCCCCUCGGCGCGGGUGGUAGGGGCCCGGGGACCUCUGGAAGGACCGCAGUGUUCAGGGGCGAGCGGGGGACUCUGCCCUUCCUCCCUUCCAGUGAGGGGCGUGGAGGGCUUCCGCGUGAUGGUCCCCGACUACAGCGCCAGCGUGGUCUACCUGCGCCUGGGCCGGGCCGGCCGGACCACCAGGACCCUGCUGCUGUUCAGCAGACAGCCCACGUGCAGCUUCCUGAGCAUGAGAAAGUUCAUCAACGCAUGUGAGGCCCUGGGGCUCGCCAGCCGUGUGGCCGUGCUCCCGAAAGACGCCUCCUGCGCGCACACCAUCCUGCCAUGAGCUGGCCACCCACCUGCUCCUCCCCAUGAGGCUCGGCUUGUGGUCCUCCCAGACCCCGGGAGCGAGUUCCAGAUUGUAGGCUGCACACCCUGCUGCUUGUUGAGACGGGUCUGGAGACCCCAGGCCACUGAUGGUGUGGAGCUUGGGUGGGCGUGGGCCCAGCAGGGUCCUUUAGGGUCUCCCGGGUGGGG
rnacentral:lncRNA from 1 species